CUCACUCACUUGGUACCGAUCAAGAAGAAGACUUGAGUCGCAGCUGCAACAAGUGAUCGAGGCUGGAAUCAUGGAAUUGUCAGGCUUGUGCUCCUCUUUCGCAUGAAGCUGCAGCAGGACUGAUCGCAGCGAGGAAGAGAAUAUCGGCGUUUGCAACCUGACAUUUUUGCCUCAAAGUCAAAGCAUGAAGAACAUCAUCGCCCUAAAAAUCCUGUCGUUAGAAUGGUGCAAAGGCAUGCUUGAGAUAUUACAUGAUUGUUUGGGAGUCCAAGUCCGAUGUGUAUAUCAUUAGAGCACAUCUCAUUACAGCUCAGGCAUGUAAAGGCCAUCAUGUAUAUAUAUUCAUCUGAUUUUGUAUGCAUGU